AACUAAAGAAAACGGAGAAAAACAAAAUACAAACCGGAAUGAAAACAAAACGCUGGGAAACCCUGAAAAUGAAAGGUGGGAGCGUCUCGUUUUAGCGAAAAAAGCUCAGGGUUCCCACUGAUUUUUCAUCAUUGGUGAGGCCUCACCUGCCUUUCCUGACCACACAUCCCUGUCUUCAUUGAAACUAAAAGAACUGCACUCAAAAAGGUACAGAGUGAUCUGGUCAGGAGCUGAUGCUGGGUCAGGAGCUGAUGCUGGGUCAGGAGCUGAUGCUGGUUAAAUGCUUGACAGCCACAGAUGGCCAUGUCUCAAGCAAGAAGGGUGUCCUACUAUGCUUGUUAGCAGGUUGACCAGGGCAGCAGUAGCAGAAAGUUCACUCAGACUCACUCAGAUUUUCAAGCAGCACCAUCCAACUCAACAUUUAUUUGAUUUCUUUUCCUCUUUUGAAGGUGCAAAUAUUUACAGUGAGUACAUAAAAAAAGAAAAACUAAUUACCUUACCUAAAUAAGAAACUGUUUUAGUGGACUUGUUAAUAAUCCAGGCUAUAUCUGGAAUUGCUUCCUCUGUGGCCUACACAUAUUAAGCCCCCUUGGCUCUAGGCGCCACCUACUUAAAUAGCUUCAGCCCCGCCUUUAAGAUAAUCCAACUACAGUAACUUUAACCACACUCAAAAUUCAUAGAAAAAGUAACAUAUAUACAAAGGCUAUGUAACCAAAUGUAUAAACUCAUGCUUGGAAACCUGUGGCAGGAAACCAUAAGAGGACAAUACUGUACUAAUGCCCCCCCCCUCUUAGCUCCAGGAAUGGUACUUCCCUUCCUAAUGGUGGGAAAAUCCCCCUAUAACUGAUGGUAAUGGUACAGCUGAUUCUGUUUGUAAGUGCCCCAAGACUACUGUAUUUAAUACUGUCCAAUAAGAAUUAAAUAAAUGUUAAUCUGAGCAAGAAAAA